ACUAAGAGAGUGACGGAUGGUUUCUCAGCAGGCUGAUAGAGGUGGCUGUGUGGUGUCAGCACACUCAAGGCUGCAGAUCUGAGUCGUGGGUGCUGUAAUACAGCCAUGUUGUGUGAUGAAGAGCUUUCAUAAUGGCUAGAUGGUGCCUCAGG